UACGUAGGGGGCAAGCGUUGUCCGGAUUUAUUGGGCGUAAAGAGCGUGUAGGCGGUUUGGUAGGUCCGUUGUGAAAACUCGAGGCUCAACCUCGAGCUGUCGGUGGAAACCGUGUGGCUAGAGUCCGGAAGAGGAGAGUGGAAUUCCCGGUGUAGCGGUGAAAUGCGCAGAUAUCGGGAAGAACACCCGUGGCGAAGGCGGCUCUCUGGGACGGUACUGACGCUGAGACGCGAAAGCGUGGGGAGCGAACAGG
rnacentral:rRNA from 1 species